AUUGAACGCUGGCGGAAUGCUUUACACAUGCAAGUCGAACGGCAGCACGGGAGCUUGCUCCUGGUGGCGAGUGGCGAACGGGUGAGUAACACAUCGGAACAUGCCUAGUCGUGGGGGAUACCGUAGCGAAAGUUACGUUAAUACCGCAUACGUCCUGAGGGAGAAAGCAGGGGAUCGCAAGACCUUGCGCGAUUAGAGUGGCCGAUGGCUGAUUAGCUUGUUGGUGGGGUAAAGGCCUACCAAGGCGACGAUCAGUAGCGGGUCUGAGAGGAUGAUCCGCCACACUGGAACUGAGACACGGUCCAGACUCCUACGGGAGGCAGCAGUGGGGAAUUUUGGACAAUGGGGGCAACCCUGAUCCAGCCAUUCCGCGUGAGUGAAGAAGGCCUUCGGGUUGUAAAGCUCUUUCAGCGGGAACGAAACGGUAGUCUCUAACAUAGGCUGCUAAUGACGGUACCCGCAGAAGAAGCACCGGCUAACUACGUGCCAGCAGCCGCGGUAAUACGUAGGGUGCGAGCGUUAAUCGGAAUUACUGGGCGUAAAGCGUGCGCAGGCGGAUUGUUAAGCAAGAUGUGAAAUCCCCGGGCUUAACCUGGGAAUGGCAUUUUUGAACUGGCAAUCUAGAGUGUGUCAGAGUGGGGUAGAAUUCCACGUGUAGCAGUGAAAUGCGUAGAGAUGUGGAGGAAUACCGAUGGCGAAAGGCAGCCCCCUGGGAUAACACUGACGCUCAUGUACGAAAGCGUGGGUAGCAAACAGGAUUAGAUACCCUGGUAGUCCACGCCCUAACGAUGUCAACUGGU
rnacentral:rRNA from 1 species